rnacentral:misc_RNA from 1 species
UUUCCGUAGGUGAACCUGCGGAAGGAUCAUUAUUGUAUAACCGAGGUGCGAGGGCUGUCGCUGACCCGAAAGGUCGUGCACGCCUGAGUGCCCUCACACACAUCCAUCUCACCCCUAUGUGCACCACCGCGCGGGUCCCCCUUUGGCUUGUUCGGAGGGGGGCUUACGUUUUCACACAAACUUUGUAUGCAGUGUAGAAUGUAUUUUUUGUUUUUGCGAUCACGCAAUCAAUACAACUUUCAACAACGGAUCUCUUGGCUCUC